rnacentral:rRNA from 1 species
AAAACGACUCUCGGCAACGGAUAUCUAGGCUCUCACAUCGAUGAAGAACGUAGCAAAAUGCGAUACUUGGUGUGAAUUGCAGAAUCCCGUGAACCAUCGAGUUUUUGAACGCAAGUUGCGCCCGAAGCCAUUAGGUUGAGGGCACGUCUGCCUGGGCGUCUC